UACGGGGGGAGCAAGCGUUGUUCGGAUUUACUGGGCGUAAAGGGCGCGUAGGCGGUCAGCACAAGUCAGUUGUGAAAUCUCCGGGCUUAACUCGGAAAGGUCAACUGAUACUGUGCGACUAGAGUGCAGAAGGGGCAACUGGAAUUCUCGGUGUAGCGGUGAAAUGCGUAGAUAUCGAGAGGAACACCUGCGGCGAAGGCGGGUCGCUGGGCUGACACUGACGCUGAUGCGCGAAAGCUAGGGGAGCAGACAGG
rnacentral:rRNA from 1 species